rnacentral:rRNA from 1 species
AUUGAACGCUGGCGGCAGGCUUAACACAUGCAAGUCGAGCGGAGAUGAGGUGCUUGCACCUUAUCUUAGCGGCGGACGGGUGAGUAAUGCUUAGGAAUCUGCCUAUUAGUGGGGGACAACAUUCCGAAAGGAAUGCUAAUACCGCAUACGUCCUACGGGAGAAAGCAGGGGAUCUUCGGACCUUGCGCUAAUAGAUGAGCCUAAGUCGGAUUAGCUAGUUGGUGGGGUAAGGGCCUACCAAGGCGACGAUCUGUAGCGGGUCUGAGAGGAUGAUCCGCCACACUGGGACUGAGACACGGCCCAGACUCCUACGGGAGGCAGCAGUGGGGAAUAUUGGACAAUGGGGGGAACCCUGAUCUAGCCAUGCCGCGUGUGUGAAGAAGGCCUUAUGGUUGUAAAGCACUUUAAGCGAGGAGGAGGCUACUGAGACUAAUACUCUUGGAUAGUGGACGCUACUCGCAGAAUAAGCACCGGCUAACUCUGUGCCAGCCGCCGCCGUAACAC